GAGAAGACGUUGUGAGAGAUGUUGAGGUGCUUGAGGGAAGUGAGGGCGGCGAGCUCCUUGGGAAGUACGCCGGUGAGGUUGUUCUGCGAGACGGUGAGGUUCUCGAGUUUGUCCAAUUGUCCGAUCUCCGGCGGAAGGUGACCGAAGAGAGGAACAAACGAGACGUUGAUAGCAACGACUCGAAGUUCUCGGUCGCAUUUUACGCCUGAAAAGAAACAGUGUGCAGAAAGCGAGGGGAAAAACUUCCAGUCAUGGAGAGCGUCGUCUUUGGCUUUAUCUCCUUUCAUGGAGUCCUUCAGCUUCAGAAGCGAUUCCAUGUCAGUGAACGAAGAGCACGUUGCCACGCGCAGCCAUAUGAAGAAAAUAAACAAUAAUAGCGUGUAGCACACACAGCUUCUCAUGUCUCUCUGAUUUUGCUUUGCAGUAGUACUACUCCCUCUCUCUUAUAUACUUAUGCCAAAUGCAUACAUUUGCCUGCGUCCUUAUUUUUACACCACACACCACAUGCUGCCUCUAUUUAUAUACACCGUUAUGUUUGUAUAUUAUUAAAUUAAAUAGCUUAUAUGCAUGUACAACACUGUACCAUAUGGUGGCACGCAAUACUAAUUAAUUCUGUUUGUAUGAAAUGGGAAAAGUUGUUCAAAGUGGAUGCUUAGGAAAAAAAAAAAACAAUAUUCAUCAGUAGCUAGCCACACAAGAUCCACUAUAAGUCUGUGAAACAUGAAGUAUAAUUAUGUUUCAAGAAAAUUGUAUACAAUAUAACUUUCUAAUGCGGAUUAAUUAUAUUGAUUCUAUAGUGGUGGGAGAGGUCCUACAAGCAAUUAGUUUAGAGGAGAAAUUUUUAUGCAAGCCUUGUCUGUCACAAAUCUUUUAUUCAGUGCGUGUGUACAAAGUUAAUUAUUCUUGAUAUAUAUAUUUUUAAAUAUGACUGAAAUAUUCUUACAUUUUUAAUAAAUAAAUAUGUAUCGUAGAAAUUUGGGUCAUGCACUUUACUAAAUUGUUUGAUGAUGAUGGAACUUAAUUAUAAUACGAUUGGUUAACAUUUGGCCGGUGGCGUAUAAUUAAUGAAAUAUCCUUGCUAUUCGCCACUGGCUGUUAAGUCUACUCAACGUGGAGUUAGCUUUUGUGAAGACAAAGAUGCAAUCUCUUCGUGACCAUUCUAUGGAGGUUUAAACUUUCCAUGAGCCUAACUUUGGAACCAAACAAAAGUGGUUUUUUGUGAUUCACCAAAUUAAAAAAGGGAAUAAAAGAAACUUUUUUUUACGUGAAAGUCUUCUUAGCUACUAUGCUUUGGUAUGUCACUGGGAUAAUUAUUAUCCAUGGAAAAGCCAAAACAUCAAUUCUCUGUUUUAAGUUGUUCUGUCAACGAUCAAGCACUAGAUAUUGAAGAAUCGUAUUCCAUGAGUGACAGUUAAAGGGUACGCAUCAACAAAAAUUUAAAGCAAAUUAUUCAUCGCAAGUGGUUAUGUUCGAUCCCUACAUUACUAAGUUAAAUGUAAAUUACUAUUUGCUUAUAAAAAAAAAUGUAAAUUGCUAUUGUCGUAUUUUGAGAGGAGAAUAAAGACAAACGAGACGAUAUACGAACGAUGUAUUGUAUGGAUAUAUACAUAGAAGUUAUCAUGGGUGCAUGCAUGUAAAAUAUAUUCUCCUUUUUGCAUGUUAAAAAAGUAACAUGUUCAUCUCACAAUAUAUAUAUAUAUAUAUAUAUAUAUAUAUAUAUAUAUUUUGUCAGUUUAAGUCAAAUGAGUUCUGUAAAUUAUCUUUAUUUUCAAUUUUAACUAUAAAAUUAAUGCUCUUAAUUUUAUUAUUAAAAAUGAAAUAUAAUGAUUUGCGCCACUGAUACUACAAUAUAAAGGAGAGUGUAUAUAUUUAAGAAUUUCUAUACACUUGUGCUAAAAGAAAGUAGAGACAAGAUUUUUCUUUUUUCCUUUUUUAAAUUUAAGGCUUAAAAAGGUGUUGCAUCUUACAAGGUCAAGAUAUUCUCACACAAUGAUGCUUCAAGAAUGGGUUCAUGCCCGUGCGUUCAACAAUUCUUUCAUAUAUAGUUCUGGCCUCUGGGAAUUGGGAGCCACUGAUAAAUGGAUGAGUGGUACAUGCUUCUCAAAAGUGUUUCAUAUUGUCCUUUUGUCAACCCCAGUGAUGAUUGUGACAGUGAGUUAGUGUCCGUGAAGUGCCCAUAAAAAUCUUCUAUGAUUGGCCCUUUUCUUAACUUCGUCUUUUUUCAUGGCAGACAGUUUUUAAUUUUAUUCUCUAAGUCUAAAUAAAUUCUAUAUUUCAUUAUUAUUUGACAAGAUGAUACAUAUAUAUAUAUAGGGGACUACAAUUAUAAUCUAAUUAAGCUAAUAAGGAGUGAUUGAAUCCAACACAUUUAUCUUGUGAAGAUACAAUUUUUUUUUUCAUAAUAAAAAAUUUAGGUGAGUUGAAUUGACCUAAGGACUCAUAAGGCUAAAGAUUAUUUAUAUAGAUAUUUAUAAAUUAUUGAUCAAUAAAAUUCUCACCUUAACAAAAAAAAUCAAAUUCAUAUUCUUAUAGGAUAUGAGUUGGUUUUUCACUAACUAGAUCAACUUUUUUUUACUAGUGAAAAUAAAAUUUAUAUAUAUCUUUUCUUUUAGAUAUAUCUUACAUGAAAAUUAAUUUUAUUGGAGUUGAAUGAAAUUAUCAUUAAUAUUAGGUAAUAAUCUCAAGUAAAAUAUUUCUUUUGAAUAUUUAAUUCAUGUUUAGACUAUUUUAAAAAAGGGUAUUUAGUUUAGUGAUACAUUAAAUUAAAAGUGGUCAAUCAGAUUUUUUUUUAUCCAAAUUAGUUAUGGGUCAAAUUAUUAGAUACUCUCAUCAAUGUCAUAAUAAUAAAAAAAAGAUUAUUUUAUUUUAUAUAAAUAAUUGUAUUUUUUUUAUUUACAUAGAUUUUUCAAAAACCAUUGAAAUAUACUCAACCUAUAAACAACUUGCAUAUUGUUUUAAAUAAAUUCAAAUAAUUUUUUACAAAUAUUUUUAAUCAUUUUUACCCAUUCACAUAUUUUUCCUUUUAGUUCGAUGUUGACAUGGUGGAAACACCUAUGAAAUGUGGAUCGUGAUUUAUCCCGGCAGUUGACUACUAUAGACCACUAAUGGCGUAUCCCGAACGCUCUGUGAUUAGACUAAUUAACAUGCAUGGUUCUUAUUGUCAAAAUUUAAAACCAUGUUGCAACUUACUUGCAUUACACAUCUUACCUUGUAGGAGAUGUAUGAACUGUUAAAGUAAAAAAAAGUAAUGAUAAAUAAACAUUUCAUUAUUUUAAAUAAUUCAUCUAUUUCUCAUUUUUAUUUAUCAUAUUGAUAUUUUUUAUUGUCUUCUAUGUGUUGUGUUGUAUAGGAGUUUUAGAUGUUUGUAUAUCAUUACUAAAAAAAUGUACUAAUGAUUGUUAGUUCAAGUAGCAAGUAUUUUGUUUCUUUUAAAGUGAAAUUUUAGAUUUUAGGUCUUGUGAAAAAAUGAACACAUAAGGAUUUGUUCUCUUAACUAGACCAUUUAACAUUUUGGUUAAAAAAAAGUUAGAUAAAUUAGAUUUCAGGAAUUCAUUGUUGGAAUCAAGAUAAACCUCGAAACUUAUUAAACAUUUACAAAUACUUAAAGACUCAUUUAACUUUCACACACACAUAAUACUACUAGCAAGUAUAUUUUGUAUAGCCCAGGUAUUUUUAUAAUGCUAAAAUAGCAUAUGUAUUAAAGAUUCAAAUAAAAUAAGUAAAAAAAAUAAAUUAAAAAUAUUGUAGUGGCAUUUCCUCCUUUUAUUUUUAUCGGUCUUUUAAAGUUUCAAGAAAUGUGAUAAGUUUUUCUUAUUAUUGUUUAGAGUAGGUGGAAUCUCGCCGAUGAGGUCAAGGUAUCUCAGAUUUUAUGCUGCCAAACUCCGGUGGAAUUUCACCUUCGUAAGCGUUGUUGUAUCCGAGUUUGAGAUACCUCAGCGUCUUCAACUUAGACAAACUCUUCGGAAUCUUCCCCGAUAAGUUAUUGGUGCUUAAGCUUAAAAACUCCAAGCUCUUAAACUCCGAGUAAAUCUCCGGUAUGCUGCCGGAAGUUGUUGUCGUAGACGUCGAGGACCUCCAGUUUCGUCAUCGGAAGAAUAAUUUGGCCGGAGAAGACGUUGUGAGAGAUGUCGAGGAGCUUGAGGGAAGUGAGGUUCUCGAGUUUGUCCAAUUGUCCGAUCUCCGGCGGAAGGUAGCCGAAAAGAGGAACAAACGAGACAUUGAUAGCAACGACUCGAAGUUCUUGGUCGCAGUUUACGCCUGAAAAGAAACAGUGUGCAGAAAGCGACGUGGAAAACUUCCAGUCAUGGAGUCCUUCAGCUUCAGCAGCGCAUCCAUGUCAGUGAACGAAGAGCACGUUGCCACGCGCAGCCAUAUGAAGAAAACAAAUUAACAACUUCUUAUCAUGUCUCUCUAGUCUCUGAUCUUGCUUCGCAGUAGUCGCUAUUAUACCUUUGCUGCGUCCUUAUAUGUUGACACCACACACCUCAUGCACUCUCUAUUUAUAUAUACACCUUUAUAUUAUAGUAGCAAAUUAAAUUGAAUAUCAUAUAUGCAUGUACAUCACUUGCACCAUGGUAGCAUGCAAUACUAGCUACACGAACUUGGAGUUAGACUUUUGUGAAAACAAAGAUGCAAUCUCUUCGUGACCAGUUAAGUAGGUUUAAGCUUUCCAUGAGCCUAACCUUGGAAUGAAACAAAAGUGGUUUUAAGUGAUUCACC
rnacentral:lncRNA from 1 species